ACUGUGAGCUCGAUGAGUAGGGCGGGACACGUGGUAUCCUGUCUGAAUAUGGGGGGACCAUCCUCCAAGGCUAAAUACUCCUGACUGACCGAUAGUGAACCAGUACCGUGAGGGAAAGGCGAAAAGAACCCCGGCGAGGGGAGUGAAAAAGAACCUGAAACCGUGUACGUACAAGCAGUGGGAGCACGCUUAGGCGUGUGACUGCGUACC
rnacentral:rRNA from 1 species